GGGAAGGUGGCUCAGUGGUAGAGCGCUUGCCUUGCAUGCUCCAGGCCCUGAGUUCGAUUCCUCAGCCCCA
rnacentral:tRNA from 1 species